CCUGAAGAUUGAAGCUUGCUUCAUGAUUCAGACCUUGGUGAGUGGCGGACGGGUGAGUAACACGUGGGUAACCUGCCCAAAAGUGGGGGAUAACAUUUGGAAACAAGUGCUAAUACCGCAUAACAACUACUUUCACAUGAUCGUAGCUUGAAAGAUGGCUCUGCUAUCGCUUUUGGAUGGACCCGCGGCGUAUUAGCUAGUUGGUGAGGUAAUAGCUCACCAAGGCAAUGAUACGUAGCCGACCUGAGAGGGUAAUCGGCCACAUUGGGACUGAGACACGGCCCAAACUCCUACGGGAGGCAGCAGUAGGGAAUCUUCCACAAUGGGCGAAAGCCUGAUGGAGCAAUGCCGCGUGAGUGAAGAAGGUUUUCGGAUCGUAAAACUCUGUUGUUGAAGAAGAACAUGCGUGAGAGUAACUGUUCACGUACUGACGGUAUUCAACCAGAAAGCUACGGCUAACUACGUGCCAGCAGCNNCGGUAAUACGUA
rnacentral:rRNA from 2 species